AUUGAACGCUGGCGGCAUGCUUUACACAUGCAAGUCGAACGGUAACAGGCCGCAAGGUGCUGACGAGUGGCGAACGGGUGAGUAAUGCAUCGGAACGUGCCCAGUCGUGGGGGAUAACGCAGCGAAAGCUGUGCUAAUACCGCAUACGAUCUAUGGAUGAAAGCGGGGGACCGUAAGGCCUCGCGCGAUUGGAGCGGCCGAUGUCAGAUGAGGUAGUUGGUGGGGUAAAGGCCUACCAAGCUGACGAUCUGUAGCUGGUCUGAGAGGACGACCAGCCACACUGGGACUGAGACACGGCCCAGACGACUACGGGAGGCAGCAGUGGGAAAUUUUGGACAAUGUGCGCAAGCCUGAUCCAGCCAUGCCGCGUGCGGGAAGAAGGCCUUCGGGUUGUAAACCGCUUUUGUCAGGGAAGAAAUCUUCUGGGUUAAUACCUCGGGAGGAUGACGGUACCUGAAGAAUAAGCACCGGCUAACUACGUGCCAGCCGCCGCAGUAAAAC
rnacentral:rRNA from 1 species